AGCGAGCCAUGAUAAAUCCUUUGUGUUGUUAGUUUUCAUUUUAUGUGUGUGGUGGUGCCAAAUUUUUUAAUUCCCGUGAAAACAAUUCAAACCUCCCUUUCUUGUUUUUCUCUACCUUCAAUUUGUAUUAGAGCUUCAACUUUGUUAUUUAUUUUUGAAUCAAACACUUAACCUUGUAGAGAGACCCAGGGUGAGAAGAAACUUCAUGGCUAACACAAAUGAAAGAGAUGGCUACAAUACAAAACCUCCAG
rnacentral:lncRNA from 1 species